rnacentral:rRNA from 1 species
UGCAAGUCGAACGGUGAUGCCCAGCUUGCUGGGUGGAUCAGUGGCGAACGGGUGAGUAACACGUGAGCAACCUGCCCUCCACUUCGGGAUAAGCCUUGGAAACGAGGUCUAAUACCGGAUACGAGCACUUACCGCAUGGUGGGUGUUGGAAAGUUUUUCGGUGGGGGAUGGGCUCGCGGCCUAUCAGCUUGUUGGUGGGGUAAUGGCCUACCAAGGCGUCGACGGGUAGCCGGCCUGAGAGGGCGACCGGCCACACUGGGACUGAGACACGGCCCAGACUCCUACGGGAGGCAGCAGUGGGGAAUAUUGCACAAUGGGCGAAAGCCUGAUGCAGCGACGCCACGUGAGGGAUGACGGCCUUCGGGUUGUAAACCUCUUUCAGCAGGGAAGAAGCGAAAGUGACGGUACCUGCAGAAGAAGCGCCGGCUAACUACGUGCCAGCAGCCGCGGUAAUACGUAGGGCGCAAGCGUUGUCCGGAAUUAUUGGGCGUAAAGAGCUCGUAGGCGGUCUGUCGCGUCUGGUGUGAAAUCCCAUGGCUCAACCAUGGGCUUGCAUCGGGUACGGGCAGACUAGAGUGCUGUAGGGGAGACUGGAAUUCCUGGUGUAGCGGUGGAAUGCGCAGAUAUCAGGAGGAACACCGAUGGCGAAGGCAGGUCUCUGGGCAGUUACUGACGCUGAGGAGCGAAAGCAUGGGGAGC